GCAGUGGUGGUUCAGUGGUAGAAUUCUUGCCUUCAAUGGGGGAGACCUGGGUUUGAUUCCUAGCCAAUGCA
rfam:Loxodonta africana unplaced genomic scaffold scaffold_38, whole genome shotgun sequence.